UACGUAGGGGGCUAGCGUUGUCCGGAUUUAUUGGGCGUAAAGAGCGUGUAGGCGGCCACGUAAGUCCGGUGUGAAAACUCGAGGCUUAACCUCGAGAUGUCAUCGGAAACUAUUUGGCUAGAGUCCGGAAGAGGAGAGUGGAAUUCCUGGUGUAGCGGUGAAAUGCGCAGAUAUCAGGAAGAACACCUAUGGCGAAAGCAGCUCUCUGGGACGGUACUGACGCUGAGACGCGAAAGCGUGGGGAGCGAACAGG
rnacentral:rRNA from 1 species